rnacentral:rRNA from 1 species
CACGUAGGGUGCGAGCGUUGUCCGGAUUUACUGGGCGUAAAGGGCGCGUAGGCGGUCGUGACAAGUCACUUGUGAAAUCUCCGGGCUUAACCCGGAGCGGCCAAGUGAUACUGUCGUGCUAGAGUGCGGAAGGGGCUACUGGAAUUCUCGGUGUAGCGGUGAAAUGCGUAGAUAUCGAGAGGAACACCUGCGGCGAAGGCGGGUAGCUGGGCCGACACUGACGCUGAUGCGCGAAAGCCAGGGGAGCGAACGGG